rnacentral:rRNA from 1 species
GGGAAUGCCACGUUGUCGAUUGCUGAAUACAUAGGUAAUCGUCGGGCACCCAGGGAAGUGAAACAUCUCAGUACCUGGUGGAAAAGAAAACAAUUACUGAUGCUUCGCAUUGGAACCGACAAGUUUACUUGUCACUCCAAUGCAAUGCAUCAGACCAUUCUCUUAGUAGCGGCGAGCGAACGGGGAACAGCCCAAACUUCAUGUGUGAAGGUAUUGCAAAACAAUCGUCUUCGGAUGGUUGCUAGUAGUACUGAAAGGUAAGGACCCUUGCACAUGGGGUGUUGUAGGAUACUUCUAGACGCAUCCUUAUAGGCGUCGAUGGGAGUGUAAAUAUAUAGGAAAAUCUUCUGGAAAGAAGAACCAAAGAAGGUGAUAGUCCUGUAUUCGAAAUGUAUUUACUACCAUGAAGAUAUUCCUGAGUACCGCGGGACACGUGAAAUCCUGUGGGAAUCUACCGCGACUAUGCGGUAAGGCUAAAUACACAUAUUGAUCGAUAGUGAACAAGUACCGUGAGGGAAAGCUGAAAAGUACCCCGAGAGGGGAUUGAAAUAGUAUCUGAAACCGUAUGCCUACAGGGAGUUAGAGCCGAACGAUUUAUCGUGUCGGUGAUAGCGUUCCUAUUGAAGAAUGAGCCAACGAGUGUGUAAACGUUGCAGGUUAAGCUCGAUAGAGCGGAGCCAUAGUGAAAGCGAGCGUUAAUAGCGCGAAUUUGUCACGUUUACACGACCCGAAACCGAGUGACCUAACCUUGGGCAGGUUGAAGCGGCCGUAACAAGCCGUGGAGGACCGAACCAAUACGUCGUGCAACACGUUUGGAUGACCUGAGGUUAGCGGAGAAAUUCCAAUCGAACUCGGUAAUAGCUGGUUCUCUCCGAAACAGUUUUAGGACUGGCGGUGGUUAACAGUCUGUGGGGGGUAGAGCACUGAUUGGGUUUGGAGCCUUCGGGUAUCCGGCCCAGCCAAACUCCGAAUACUCACAGAUAUUCCCACCAGUUAGACCAUGGGGGCGAAGCUCCAUCGGUCAAAAGGGGAACAGCCCAGAUCUCAAGCUAAGGUCCCUAAAUUAUCACUAAGUGUAAAAGGUGGUGACAUGACUUAUACAACCAGGAGGUUGGCUUAGAAGCAGCCAUCCUUUAAAGAAAGCGUAAUAGCUCACUGGUCAAGUUGCGUUGCGCCGAAAAUGUACCGGGGCUCAAGUGAUAUACCGAAGCUGAGGGCUCGCGUUUAACGACGUGAGCGGUAGGAGAGCAUUCCAUUCGCGUUGAAGCACAAGGGGUGACCCAAUGUGGAGCGUAUGGAAGAGAGAAUGUUGGCAUGAGUAGCAAAAAAACGGGUGAGAACCCCGUUCACCGAAAGACCAAGGUUUCCUGGGCAACGUAAAUCGACCCAGGGUUAGUCGGGUGCUAAGACGAGGCCGAAAGGCGUAGCCGAUGCACAGCAGGUUAAUAUUCCUGCACUAUCUAUAUGACUGAUGGAGUGACGGUUUCUUAAACCUCCCGCGCCCUAUGGCUAUGGCGUUGGGCAGUCGUUCUCGUGAAAUAGGCAAAUCCGUUUCACACAAGAGCGUGGCUGAUCGCGAGUCCAAUUUAUUGGACAAGGGGAGAGGCAAGAGAUCCUAGAAAAGCUUCUAAGAUUAUUAUAUAGAUACCCGUACCGCAAACCGACACAGGUGGUUGGGUUGAGCAUACUAAGGUGUACGAGAGAAACUUCCUUAAGGAACUAGGCAAAACAGCGGCCGUAACUUCGGGAUAAGGCCUGCUUUCCAUCGUUGAGAUGGAGAGCCGCAGCGAAAGAUCUCAAGCGACUGUUUACCAAAAACACAGGUCUCUGCUAAACCGUAAGGUGAAGUAUAGGGGCUGAUGCCUGGCCAGUGUCCGAACGUUAAAGAAGAGGGUUAGCCUUCGGGUGAAGCUUUCGACUGAAGCGCGGAUGAACGCCGGCGGUAACUAUAACCGUCCUAAGGUAGCGAAAUUCCUUGUCGGGUGAGUUCCGACCCGCACGAAUGGCAUAACGAUUUGAGAACUGUCUCAAGGAAGUACUCGGCGAAAUUGCAGUACGAGUGAAGAUGCUCGUUUUCCCGCAGCCGGACGAAAAGACCCCGUGAAGCUUUACUACAGCUUGCUAUUGGGUUUAUGACUCACAUGUUCAGUAUAGGUGGGAGCCGCAAGGCGCCAGUGAGAUACCACCCUUGUGUUUUGUGAAUCCUAAUCGAAUGCCAUGAAUCUGGUGUUUGAGACAUUAGCUGGUGGGUAGUUUGACUGGGGCGGUCGCCUCCCAAAGAGUAACGGAGGCGUUUACUAAGGUUGGCUUAGCCCGGAUGGACAUCGGGCGGAAAGUGCAAACGCAAAAGCCAGCUUUACUGCAAGACGCACAUGUCGCGCAGUUACGAAAGUAGAAGUUAGUGAUCCGACCGUUCGAUAUAGGACGGCGGAAGCUCAACGGAUAAAAGCUACUCCGGGGAUAACAGGCUGAUCCCUCCCAAGAGUCCACAUCGACGGAGGGGUUUGGCACCUCGAUGUCGGCUCGUCGCAUCCUGGGGCUGAAGAAGGUCCCAAGGGUUAGGCUGUUCGCCUAUUAAAGCGGCACGCGAGCUGGGUUCAGAACGUCGUGAGACAGUUCGGUCUCCUAUCCGCUGUGGGCGUUGAUAAUUGAGAGAGCACAUCUCUAGUACGAGAGGACCGAGAUGUACCGAUCUCUUGUGUACCAGUUGUCCUGCCAAGGGCAUUGCUGGGUAGCUACAUCGGGCCUAGAUAAGCGCUGAAAGCAUAUAAGCGCGAAGCUAUUCUCAAGAUUAAUUAUCAUAGACACGUUCGAGACGAGGACGUUGAUAGGCUCUAGGUAUACGCGUAGCAAUACGUUUAGCCGAGGAGUACUAAUAAGUCAUCGCUUUACUA